rnacentral:rRNA from 1 species
UACAGAGGGUGCAAGCGUUGUUCGGAAUCACUGGGCGUAAAGCGCGCGCAGGCGGAUGGGUGCGUCCGGAGUGAAAUUUCGCCGCUCAACGGCGAAGCUGCUUUGGAUACGGACCGUCUAGGGACCGGUAGAGGCUGGUAGAAUUGCAGGUGUAGCGGUGGAAUGCGUAGAGAUCUGCAAGAAUACCCGUGGCGAAGGCGGCCAGCUGGGCCGGAUCCGACGCUGAGGCGCGAAAGCGUGGGGAGCAAACAGG